AUACUUUAAACUAUCUAAAUUAAGUUUAACAUUCUUGAUCUUGAAUUUAAAAAUCCUAUACUCAAAUUUUAAAGAUUAUUCAAUUUCCACCGUCCAUUUUGACAUAAUUUAUUUACUAAGUAAACAAUGUCGAAAAAAGCUAAAAUUUUAUUCCUAAGAACUUUAUAUACCCUAGAUCAUAUUAAACGGUGUGGAUCGUUAAUUUGAAUACCCUAAGAUCGAAAACAAGACUAUAGUACCGGAGCUCCG
rnacentral:lncRNA from 1 species